UCGGAAUCUACUCUGUCGGGGGGGAUAACGUAAGGAAACUUACGCUAAUACCGCAUACGACCUACGGGUGAAAGCAGGGGAUCUUCGGACCUUGCGCGAUUGAAUGAGCCGAUGUCGGAUUAGCUAGUUGGCGGGGU
rnacentral:rRNA from 1 species